rnacentral:rRNA from 1 species
UACGUAGGGGGCGAGCGUUGUCCGGAAUUACUGGGCGUAAAGGGUUCGCAGGCGGCAUGGCAAGUCCGAUGUAAAAGGCGAAAGCUCAACUUUCGUAAGCAUCGGAAACUGUCAAGCUUGAGUGAAGGAGAGGCAAGUGGAAUUCCUAGUGUAGCGGUGAAAUGCGCAGAUAUUAGGAGGAAUACCGGUGGCGAAGGCGACUUUCUGGCCAUUAUCUGACGCUGAGGUACGAAAGCGUGGGUAGCAAACAGG